rnacentral:rRNA from 1 species
ACUCGAGUGGCGAACGGGUGAGUAACACGUGGGUGAUCUGCCCUGCACUUCGGGAUAAGCUUGGGAAACUGGGUCUAAUACCGGAUAGGAGCCAUCUUUAGUGUGGUGGUUGGAAAGUUUUUCGGUGUAGGAUGAGCUCGCGGCCUAUCAGCUUGUUGGUGGGGUAAUGGCCUACCAAGGCGGCGACGGGUGGCCGGCCUGAGAGGGUGUACGGCCACAUUGGGACUGAGAUACGGCCCAG